GUAGCCGGUCCCGGCCUUUUAUCCCCAGCCAUUCCCCGCCACUCCCAGCUGCCACAGCGGAUAACUGAAGCUAAGCAAUCACCAGAACUCACGCACGCACACGAAGAACACAGAAACCAGAGGAGCAUAAACAAGAUUUCGAAGAUGCAAGCAUUCCUCGCCUAUUCGAUCCUUACGAAUCCAUGCUCGAGAUCCUUCUUCCCGCGUCCAGCAACGCGACCGCAGUUCCUCCUGUCCUCGGUUCCGGCAGCGAGGACUAGUGCUGCUGCCACCGCAAGAAGAUGCGGUGGGCCGGGCCGGAGCGUGGUGACCGCGGCGUCAUCGUCCCCGGCAGUGGUCACCGCGGCGACGGACGUUCCGGGGACGAUGAAGGCUUGGGCGUACGAAGAGUACGGGGACGCCAGCGUGCUCAAGCUCGACGAGGCCGUGUCGGUGCCGGCGGUGGGCGAGGACCAGGUGCUGGUCCGGGUGGCUGCCGCGGCGCUCAACCCCGUCGAUUCCAAGCGGCGUAUGGGCAAGUUCAAGGCCACCGACUCCCCACUCCCGACUGUGCCAGGGUACGACAUGGCCGGAGUGGUCGUCAAGGUCGGCAGCCAGGUGAAGAACCUCAAGGAAGGCGACGAGGUGUACGGCCACAUCAGCGAGAAGGUCCUCGAGGGACCCAAGCAGUUCGGCUCGCUGGCAGAGUACACCGCCGUGGAGGAGAAGCUGGUGGCGCUCAAGCCCAAGAGCAUCGACUUCGCGCAGGCCGCCGGUCUGCCGCUCGCCAUCGAGACCGCCCAUGAGGGCCUCGAGAGAGCAGGCUUCUCCGCCGGCAAGUCCAUCCUUGUCCUCGGCGGCGCCGGCGGAGUCGGGACCCUUGUCAUCCAGCUGGCAAAGCAAGUUUACGGCGCAUCGAAAGUGGCGGCCACAGCCAGCACCCCAAAGCUGGAGCUCCUGAAAAGCCUGGGAGCCGACGUCGCCAUUGAUUACACCAAGGAGAACUUCGAGGACAUGCCGGAGAAGUACGACGUCGUGUUCGACGCAGUCGGCCAGGGCGAGAAGGCGGUCAAGGUGGUGAAGGAAGGCGGCAGCGUGGUGGUCCUCACAGGCGCGGUCGCGCCUCCGGGGUUCCGGUUCGUGGUCACCUCCGACGGGUCCGUCCUGGCGAAGCUCAACCCUUACCUCGAGUCCGGGAAGGUGAAGCCGGUGGUCGACCCCAAGGGGCCCUUCCCCUUCUCCCAGGUCGUGGAGGCGUUUUCUUACCUUGAGACCGGGCGAGCCACCGGCAAAGUAGUCAUUUCGCCUGUUCCAUGAGACACUGCUGUAAAUAGCUAGCACAGGUGAUGUAUUUUUGUCACGGAUUACUGAGCAAAUAUUUGUUGGAUCGUGAGUAUAAACAGAAAAGGAUGUGAUGUUAUCAGAGAUGGUGGUAGGUUCCUGGAGUAUUACUACAAUGAACAGAAAUCUGUAGUAUUUGUUCAAUCUGUACCUGGCCUUUCACCAUUCAGUUACGUUUCAGAUGUUUCAAAAGGCUACAGAGGGUUGUACUGCUUUCCUGAAUUUCCAAGUGAAAGUGAGCGCACUAAUUAUUCC
rnacentral:rRNA from 1 species